AUCCAUCUGAUGAGUCCCAAAUAGGACGAAACGCGCAUCCUGGAU
rfam:Schistosoma mansoni strain Puerto Rico chromosome 6, complete genome